rnacentral:rRNA from 1 species
UACGUAGGGGCUAGCGUUAUCCGGAAUUACUGGGCGUAAAGGGUGCGUAGGUGGUUUCUUAAGUCAGAGGUGAAAGGCUACGGCUCAACCGUAGUAAGCCUUUGAAACUGGGAAACUUGAGUGCAGGAGAGGAGAGUGGAAUUCCUAGUGUAGCGGUGAAAUGCGUAGAUAUUAGGAGGAACACCAGUUGCGAAGGCGGCUCUCUGGACUGUAACUGACACUGAGGCACGAAAGCGUGGGGAGCAAACAGGAUUAGAUACCCUUGUAGUCCCUGAG